AUUGAACGCUGGCGGCAGGCUUAACACAUGCAAGUCGAGCGAGCGGCGGACGGGUGAGUAAUGUCUGGGAAACUGCCUGAUGGAGGGGGCUAACUACUGGAAACGGUAGCUAAUACCGCAUACCAUCAGAUGUGCCCAGAUGGGAUUAGCUAGUAGGUGGGGUAAGGGCUCACCUAGGCGACGAUCCCUAGCUGGUCUGAGAGGAUGACCAGCCACACUGGAAAUGAGACACGGUCCAGACUCCUACGGGAGGCAGCAGGGGGGAAUAUUGCACAAUGGGCGCAAGCCUGAUGCAGCCAUGCCGCGGGUGUGAAGAAGGCCUGCGGGUUGUAAAGCACUUUCAGCGAGGAGGCGUUACUCGCAGAAGAAACACCGGCUAACUCCGUGCCAGCAGCCGCGUAAUUC
rnacentral:rRNA from 1 species